GACGAACGCUGGCGGCGUGCUUAACACAUGCAAGUCGAGCGGAGCGGCGAACGGGUGAGUUACGCGUGAGUAACUGCCCCCCUUUCUGGGAUAACAGUUGGAAACGGCUGCUAAUACCGGCUAGUGGGGGAUGACUCGCGUCCUAUCAGCUUGUUGGUGGGGUAGUGGCCUACCAAGGCGACGACGUGUAGCCGGCCGGAGAGGGCGACCGGCCACAAUGGGCUGAGAGACGGGCCAAACUCCAACGGGAGGCAGUAGAGGGGAAUAGUGCACAGUGGUGGAAACCCUGAUGCAGCAACGCCGCGUGCGGAAUGACGGCCAUCGGGUUGUAAACCGCUUUCGGCCAUGACGCGGUAGUGGCAGAAGAAGCACCGGGUAACUACGUGCCAGCAGCCGCGGUAAUAC
rnacentral:rRNA from 1 species